CUUUGUGUGUGUCUGUCCAAGUUUAUGGUAAUGAUGAGAUUCGAUGACCGGUUAAUAAGGUGUGACUGAGGUGAAACUACCUGGAGCCAGAAUAACAAUUUCAGACCGUAGAGUUUGGGAAGUGACAUUUGAGUUACUAAAAUCUUCUUCUGCUUCUUUAUUUUGUUUAAUUUGUCUUGCUGACUCUGUCAUUAUGAUUAUCGCUUCAACCUCAUUCCAGUAAACGGGCGUCUUGUUGCUUGCCUGACAUCUUUCUUCAACUGAGAGUACAUGAAAUUCCCAGGCAGUGGCAGAUUUCUCGCGUGGCUCGCAAAACCAAAUUCCUCGGGAAACUAUCUGGGACUGGAAAUCCGGUAGAAAGUAUGGCAUGAACACCUUGGGUUGCUUCUAGCACACUCAGCAAUUACUCUGAUGCGUCAGUGUACUACAAUCUUGGUUUAUUCUCAUUUGAUGGAAGAGCGUGGAGAUUUAGUUCGUAUUCUUGAAAUGUACUAUUUGCCGCUUGCUAAGCGUGCGGAAUGCCGGGUAAAGGAUCUGGCUCUAAAGAACAUACAUUUUCUGUUUGCAAAUGCCACAGUUUCUUUCAAACAUAUAAUGUCCACUUACCCAGGUCCUUUGAUGUUAGUUUCGAUCCUUUGUCCAGAUCCUCAUGUCAAGAAAAAGCAUCACAAGAGAAGGGUUGUGCAGAAGCCUUUGGUAGAUUCUAUUUUGGAUAGUCUAGCGCCUGGGGGGAAGAUUCUACUGUCAAAUGAUCUGUUCAGACGGAAAACAGCAUUUGGGUUAAGGAGAAGGCAAUUUUGUGCCUGGAGCUAGAAAUCGCUACUUCACAUCCUCUGGUGCUUUGUUGAAAUCACUCUCCCAGUCGUGGUUAAGCUUUUGACUUUGGUAUUCAUACGAUCCGAUGUGCUCGAAGUGGCUGUUGACAUGAGAAAUCUAUUCGAUGAGAGGCGCGAUUUGCUUCAACAUGUCGAUUCGAUCGAUAUGACAAUUUCGUGCUGUGUGGGCGGA